rnacentral:lncRNA from 1 species
UGAGUGUUGACACACCGAAAUUCAGGAGGCUUCUGAACCCCGCAAAACAGGGGUCUGACAGAUCUGUCAGGGCACACCUGCUUUAGGGGACCGGCCUUCCUACCAGGAAUGCUCAUUUUUAAAAGCUUUCAAGAGCCAUCUUCCGUGUACACCUAACGUUUAAAGAAGGGGUUUAUUUUCAGGGCUGAUUUGUCCGGGCGCCUUGGGCGGCCCCGCUGUCCCGCGGGGCGCAGGAGCGCGGUGGGGCCGCGGCUCUGCCGGGCAGGGCUCGGGGGGGCUGCCCUUGCCAGGCGGGACCGGCAGCCCGAGCACUGCCAGAACACAACAGCCUGUGUAAUCACAUCUUCCCGGGAACUGUGUUAGCUCCGUGGGGAGCUCCGUCCAUUUGGAGGGGGGGAGGAGGAGGAGGAGGAGGGAAGAGACUUGCUUUGGUAGGGAGGGCGAAGGGGGGGUAAGGUGAAAAGGGUCAGUGAGUAACCCAGCUCUCGCUCGAAUAUGAUAAAGGUAAUUGUUGCUCUCAAGUGAGCACCGGGUGCUUCCUGGCUCUGGCUGCUCUCGCUGCUCGUGUCUGUGUUAUGCAGGCGUCUGCUCUGCCGAGCAGGGCUUUGCGAGAAGACAGAAGAGGUUUGAUUGACCCUGUUGGGAGCGUGAGCUGUGGGCUCUGUGGAUGCUUUGCUGUGACGGAGGGCCGAGGGCUGACCAAGUCGUGGGGAGGAUUUGUAUGUGGGAAGAGAGGAGAUGGCUGUGCAGCGUGCUCCCGAAUCUGCUCUGAGCUUGCUGAUGGUCUCAAUUGCAUUCAAGUUGAGCUUUUACCAAGUGCCAUACAGAAUCCAACACCACAUGUAUGUUAACUGCAUUUCAACUCAGAGACAGAUGAAGCAUCAUAUGAGAAAAGGCUCAUUUAAAUUCUGUGUUAUAAUGGAGUGACAGAUCCAUACAGUAAAAAUCAUGAGUAAUUUUCCUUCCCUAAUGAUUCUGGCUUAAAAACAUGUUAACAGAAAGGUUGUGUUUUGUUGUGUUAAAAUUUUGUAUUUUUCAUCUGCAUUUUGGAAUUCCACAUUUGAAAGCUUAUUCCUCAAGAACAAAGGUUGGAAACUUUAAUUCCAUGCUUUCCAGUUUUAAAAAAAGAUGAGGCACAAAACUGAAGGGCACAGAUUAUAUGUUUAAAAUACAGGGAGUUCCAUCCUGCUGUGUGCUUCACCAAAGAAAAUACCUGCUAUAAGCUGUAUAUAGGCCAUGUUCUGUUUAUCCUACCCUGUUCCCUAACAGACUGUAUGGAGCUGUCUCAACUGUGUCAGAGGCAGGAGAGUUCCCAGCUCCAUAAUAAACUUUGGUCUAUCACAUAUUUUACCCCA